rnacentral:rRNA from 1 species
UGGGGAAUAUUGGACAAUGGGCGCAAGCCUGAUCCAGCCAUGCCGCGUGUGUGAAGAAGGCCUUCGGGUUGUAAAGCACUUUCAGCGAGGAGGAAGGGAGUUGUGUUAAUAGCACAGCUUCUUGACGUUACUCGCAGAAGAAGCACCGGCUAACUCUGUGCCAGCAGCCGCGGUAAUACAGAGGGUGCAAGCGUUAAUCGGAAUUACUGGGCGUAAAGCGCACGUAGGCGGUUUUUAAGUCAGAUGUGAAAGCCCCGGGCUCAACCUGGGAAUUGCAUUUGAAACUGGAAAACUAGAGUGUGUGAGAGGGGGGUAGAAUUCCAAGUGUAGCGGUGAAAUGCGUAGAGAUUUGGAGGAAUACCAGUGGCGAAGGCGGCCCCCUGGCACAACACUGACGCUCAGGUGCGAAAGCGUGGGGAGCAAACAGGAUUAGAUACCCCUGUAGUCCCUGAGCGGGCUGGCAAGGCGCAU